AGCCACCAAUAAAUAUGCAAGAAAGGACUUGGACAAGAAAAUGCUGAUCACUGAAAGGAGUGUUAUCUCCAACAUCCUUACACACAUGGUUGUGAAGAAAAAUGGGACAAAGUUUAGAAGCAGUACAGUAGUAGCUCAAAAGAGAGAAUUGGGUGAGAAAUCAAGGGACAAACAGGAACCCAUUUUUCCAUUGAGAGUUUCAAACACAAUUCUUACUCAGUCUGCAGUUACAGUACUUGGAUUGGGGUUCAUUGAUGCCGGGUAUAGUGGAGAUUGGUCAAGGAUUGGAGUGAUUUCAAAGGAGACUGAAGAUUUGUUAAAGCUUGCAGCAUUUGUUGUAGUCCCUUUGUGCCUCUUUCUCAUAUUUUCUUUCUCUAAGAGACAUGAGGCUUGAAAUUUCGAAUAUGAUUGUACCAUUUUCUACGCAACCACACUUUUUCUUAAAUAAAUAAAUAAAAGAAUUUUGAGGUGGUUUGCUUUCCUUGUCCUUUCACUUGGCAAGAGCCAUGACAUGCCCUAUAAAAAAAGGGUAAUAUUUUUGUCAGUUUGCCUCAAAAUUCGGCCUUUUACCAUUAAACAAAAAAAAUGCAACUUCUGUUCCCUGGUCGGAGA